GAGCCUGCUUGGGCGGCACAUAUGCUAAAACUUGAAUAACACAGAGAAGAAUGACAUGAUCCCUAUGUGAGGAUGACAGACACACUUGUGAAGUGGGCUUCUGGAAU
ensembl:snRNA Gm23124 U6 spliceosomal RNA